rnacentral:rRNA from 2 species
UAGAGUUUGAUCCUGGCUCAGGACUAACGCUGGCGGCGUGCCUAAUCAAUGCAAGUCUACCCGUCUUCGGACGAGUGGCAGACGAGUGAGUAACGCGUAGGAACCUACCUCUAACUUGGCCAUAACCCACCGAAAGGUGGGAUAAUAGCCAAUAGUCUCUUCGGUUAGUAGCCGAAAGAGUAAAGCUUCGGCGGUUAGAGACGGGCCUGCGUUCUAUCAGCUAGUUGGUGAGGUAAUGGCUUACCAAGGCGAUGACGGAUAGGGGGCGUGAGAGCGUGAUCCCCCACGAUGGCACUGAGACACGGGCCACACACCUACGGGUGGCAGCAAGUAGGAAUCUUGCGCAAUGCCCUCUCUUGAGGGUGACGCAGCGACGCCGCGUGCAGGAAGAAGCUUUUCGGAGUGUAAACUGACAUCAAAAAGGGACGGCUAACUUCGUGCCAGCAGCAGCGGUAAUACGAGGGUCCCGAGCGUUGUCCGGUAUUAUUGGGCGUAAAGAGUUCUGUAGGCGGCAAAGUAAGUUUUGGGUUAAAACCUCCGGCUCAACCGGAGAUCCGCUUGAAAUACUGCUUUGCUAGAGAAAUGCAGGGGAGGAUGGAAUGCAUGGUGUAGUGGUGGAAUACGUUGAUAUCAUGCAGAACACCGAAGGCGUAGGCAAUCCUCUGGGCAUUUUCUGACGCUGAGAGACGAAAGCGUGGGGAGCAAAACGGAUUAGAUACCCGUGUAGUCCACGCCGUAAACGAUGUCUACUCGGUCCGUGGUGGUGAUUUAUCACCAUUGCGAGCCUCAGCUAACGCAAUAAGUAGACCGCCUGGGAACUACGGCCGCAAGGCUAAAACUCAAAGGAAUUGGCGGGGACCCGCACAAGCGGUGGAGCGCCUGCUUUAAUUCGAUGAUAAGCGAAGAACCUUACCGAGGUUUGACAUGCUACUGCAUGUUCCCCGAAAGGGGAACGGUCCUUCGAGGGUGUAGCACAGGUAUUGCAUGGCUGUCGUCAGCUCGUGUCGUGAGAUGUACCGUUAAGUCGGGUAACGAGCGCAACCCUUACUGCUAGUUGUAUCACUCUAGCGGAACUGCCCGGGCAACCGGGAGGAAGGUGAGGAUGAUGACAAGUCAGCAUGGUCCUUAUGCCUCGGGCGAGACAGGCGCUACAAUGGCCAGUACAAUGGGUCGCUACACAGCAAUGUGAUGCUAAUCUCAUAAAGCUGGUCUCAGUUCGGAUUGUGGGCUGAAAUUCGCCCGCAUGAAGUCGGAAUCGCUAGUAAUCGCCGGUCAGCUAUACGGCGGUGAAUACGUUCUCGGGUCUUGCACACACUGCCCGUCAAAUCAGCAGAGUUGGGAAUACCCGAAGUCCGCACUUUAGUGUGGCCUAAGGUAGGCUCAAUGAUGAGGAUUAAGUCGUAACAAGGUAACC